rnacentral:rRNA from 1 species
UACGGGGGGGGGCAAGCGUUGUUCGGAAUCACUGGGCGUAAAGCGCACGUAGGCGGAUGUGUCAGUCAGGGGUGAAAUCCCGGAGCUCAACUUCGGAACUGCCUUUGAUACAGCACGUCUUGAGUCCGAGAGAGGUGGGUGGAAUUCCUAGUGUAGAGGUGAAAUUCGUAGAUAUUAGGAAGAACACCGGUGGCGAAGGCGGCCCACUGGCUCGGUACUGACGCUGAGGUGCGAAAGCGUGGGGAGCAAACAGGG